UUGUCCGGCUCCAUACUACCUCUUGUUUGCAGGAAGGCCAUGUUUCCUGAGUGACAGGGAUUUGAGUGGGAUCGGGGCUGGGCUUUUCAUAUUCUCAAUAACACUGUUUUCUUUGUCUUUGUUUAUGUUACAUCAGGUGCACUGAAGAGUGUCUGGAACCCUAUGAUACUAGAAAUGCUUUUUAAAUGGACGAAGAACAGAUUUUACCUGGACCUGUAAACCUGAUCCAUGAUUGCAGAGCAAGGGCAGGCAGACUGCCGAGACUGACAGCGCUUCUUUAUUUUUAAAUUAUAGUGACACAGCAUAUAGAGAAAUCUACCGAACGUCCCUGCCCAUGUAUGUGCAAUCUCCUGGGCAGCUAAACAGAAAUAAUUUAAAAUAGAUUGUAUUCUCAAUCCUCUGUCAAGUUGUAUUUGAAAUCUUAGAGCCACACAUGAAGACACUUCCCCUUAGGAUGCACUAUGGGGACUCUUGCUGCACAGUUGAAUAUUAAGGGUGUGGAGAAGACUGGGUGGAGGCUGUCAGAAGAUGGACACACACCUGUUGAACACAGAGGUGUUGAGCCAGUAGGUAAAGAAGCAGGGAUUAGUUCUCUACCUCAACUGAGAGACUUCCUCUCUCUGUGAAUACAGAUGGUGAGUGAGUGAAUGAGUGUGUGUUUCUUGACUGACUUCGUCACAGUACCUAUUGAGUCAGCUCUCUGAGUCAUCCGUUUCAUGGUUGCCUAGUGACAACGGUGGGGAAAUGUUUCCUAUUGCGCAUUCGCUGAUGCUUGGUAGCAAUAUUUAUUCAAGCACUGCAGUAAGAGGGCCAGAGAAAAUAAUUGAUGCAUUCCACAUGAUUGUACGGCCGUUUGGCCAUCUGUAAAAACUGUUUACCUGAGGAUUCAGAACUUCCCUGGUUUUUCAUGCUUACCGAAUCAACUAAUAAAACUGAUAUAUCAAGGGAUUCGGUAACUCUGAAUCAGUGUUUUCAAAGCUUUCUUGUCUUACGUACCCCCAUAGUCUAUGAGUAAGGGUCAUGUAAACUUUCAUGGACACCUAUCCAGAAAUUUGUACUUUUUUUAACUGGACAUCAUUCAGCUUUUUUAUUAAUAUUAUUAAAAUUGCCUGUUU